GAUGAACGCUGGCGGCGUGCCUAAUACAUGCAAGUCGAGCGAACAGACGAGGAGCUUGCUCCUCUGACGUUAGCGGCGGACGGGUGAGUAACACGUGGAUAACCUACCUAUAAGACUGGGAUAACUUCGGGAAACCGGAGCUAAUACCGGAUAAUAUAUUGAACCGCAUGGUUCAAUAGUGAAAGACGGUUUUGCUGUCACUUAUAGAUGGAUCCGCGCCGCAUUAGCUAGUUGGUAAGGUAACGGCUUACCAAGGCAACGAUGCGUAGCCGACCUGAGAGGGUGAUCGGCCACACUGGAACUGAGACACGGUCCAGACUCCUACGGGAGGCAGCAGUAGGGAAUCUUCCACAAUGGGCGAAAGCCUGACGGAGCAACGCCGCGUGAGUGAUGAAGGUCUUCGGAUCGUAAAACUCUGUUAUUAGGGAAGAACAAAUGUGCAAGUAACUAUGCACGUCUUGACGGUACCUAAUCAGAAAGCCACGGCUAACUACGUG
rnacentral:rRNA from 1 species